rnacentral:rRNA from 1 species
AUUGAACGCUGGCGGCAGGCCUAACACAUGCAAGUCGAACGAGUGGCGGACGGGUGAGUAAUGUCUAGGAAACUGCCUGAUGGAGGGGGAUAACUACUGGAAACGGUAGCUAAUACCGCAUACCAUCAGCUCUGCCCAGAUGGGAUUAGCUAGUUGGUGGAGUAACGGAUCACGAAGGCGACGAUGCCUAGCUGGUCUGCGAGGAUGACCAGCCACAAGGGAACUGAGACACGGUCCAGACUCCUACGGGAGGCAGCAGGGGGGAAUAUUGCAGAAUGGGGGCAAGCCUGAGGCAGCCAUGCCGCGUAUAUGAAGAAGGCCUUCGGGUUGUAAAGUACUUUCAGCGGGGAAGCGGUACCAGCAGAAGAAGCCCCGGCUAACUCCGUGCCAGCAGCCGCGGUAAUUC